rnacentral:lncRNA from 1 species
UCUGAAAUAUCAGCAGUAUUCGGAUAAACUGGCUUUAAAAACACUUAAUGAAUAAGUGUUUGGACUCAAACUUCAGACCAAUCCUCUGUAGCUACCCCUGUCUUGACUUCUGAAUGAUCAUUUUCACUCAGUUGUUUCAGCAAGCAGCUGUCUGUCUCCUGAACAUCUUAAACUGGCUAAGCUGCUUUGUUUGCUGGACUUCUAUUCCUGCUUCCUCAUCUUAGUGGCAGGUGGCACAAGUUCUUGGUGGCUGAUCAUUAAGUCUCCCUUUGUUUUAUGACUGCCUCUGAACAGGAGAAGCCUCUCCAGUUUUUGAAAAGAGCCUGGAGUUUUGUCCUUACCCUUUGCUGCCUGGCCACAGCACAGCUGCAUGUGGUGAAGGUGACGCAGUCAGAACUUGGCAAAAUAGAAGCUGUGCGUCAUUUAACUUACCUAGGUGAUUGAUGGAGCAGAAAAACUAACGACCCAUGAAGGAACAAAUGUUUCUCAAACAAAAGUUUGUAAUACACAUUGAGAGCUAGCUGAGGACACAAUUGCAAAAUGCAUUGUAUUGUAAGUGCACUGCAACGGCUGCAGAGAGCCCCUGGAUCAUAUUGACGGGAUGGCACGCCAGCUGGAUCCAACUAAGAAUUCCUCAUCAAGGUGUGUUUAAACUCCGAGAAUACAAAAUCUUUUUCCAUUAAGUAUGAUAGCUACGUAGUCAUUUUUAGUGUUCUCUUUUCUCAUGCUAUUCGCUUUAUUGCUGUCCACCUUGGGAUUCCUGCUACUAUGGGAUUUCUUACUGGGCUGAUGCUUGGCCAAUAUUUGUCCAACUUCUCUUUUUUUUGUCUCCUGUGAAAACUGUCUGAAACUAAGCAGAAACUAACCUUAAUUUAUUUCUUUAAUAAACAAAAUUAAGAUACUGCAUAUUAAUAAAAAAUGAAAAGUAUUCCCUUGUUGGUUUUCUUUUUUUUUUUUUUUUUUUUUAAGUUUCCCAAAACAGUCCCAUAUCUCUGUCAAAGUUAACGUAACUAGAAUUUCCAUGGGAAUUUGUGUUGAUCUGGGGAAACUGGAACUGGCUAAUGUAAAUAACUAUAGCCCAUCCUCCA